rnacentral:rRNA from 1 species
GACGAACGCUGGCGGCGUGCUUAACACAUGCAAGUCGAACGGAAAGGCCCUGCUUUUGUGGGGUGCUCGAGUGGCGAACGGGUGAGUAACACGUGAGUAACCUGCCCUUGACUUUGGGAUAACUUCAGGGAACUGGGGCGCAUACCGGGUAGAAGCUUCUGCUGCAUGGUGGUGGUUGGAAAGUUUCGGCGGUUGUGGAUGGACUGGCUGCUUAUCAGCUUGUUGGUGGGGUAGUGGCUUACCAAGGCUGUGACGGGUAGCCGGCCUGAGAGGCGGACCGGCGACAAUGGGACUGAGGGACGGAGCAGACGCCUACGGGAGGCAGCAGUGGGGAGUAUGGCAGAACGGGGCGAAGCCUGAGACAGCGGUGCCGCGUGCGGGAUGACGGCUUUCGGGGGGUAAACCGCUUUCGAAGGUGACGAAGAGUGAGUGACGGUAAUGGGUAAGGAAGCACCGGCUAACUACGUG